UACGUAGGGUGCGAGCGUUGUCCGGAAUUAUUGGGCGUAAAGAGCUUGUAGGCGGUCUGUCGCGUCUGCUGUGAAAAUCCGGGGCUCAACCCCGAACUUGCAGUGGGUACGGGCAGACUAGAGUGUGGUAGGGGAGUCUGGAAUUCCUGGUGUAGCGGUGAAAUGCGCAGAUAUCAGGAAGAACACCCGUGGCGAAGGCGGCUCUCUGGGACGGUACUGACGCUGAGACGCGAAAGCGUGGGGAGCGAACAGG
rnacentral:rRNA from 1 species